rnacentral:pre_miRNA from 1 species
UUCUACAACGUACGUAGGGUAAGUGGAUGGCUGAAAUUCGUUAGCCUAGCCGUGGCCCUGGAAAUACUUCUCUGCAGGACAAGCUUCAUUUCCAUUACCGGAUAUCAACAGAAAGGUUGAAAAAGACAACAAUGUAGAGGAUUUGGUGGAGUGUGGAAAGAUUUGAAUGCAAACUUAUCGAAGAUUGAUCAUCAUGGAUUUAAGCCAUCCAUUUACCCCAAGUUCGUUGUCAAACG